UUUUCUCUGGCAGUUACAGAACAAAGGACAAGGAAGAAAGAACCAUUUUCUUCCUUCUUUUGCAGGGGAAACAGAGGUGAUUCCUACAGGGAGUCAUGGUGAAUUUGUUGCAAGCAGAAGGCUAAGCUAAGCUGGCAGUUAAAGCCCUCAGCUGACUUAGUGGCCUUACAUUCAGGGGAGGGCCAAAAUGGCUGCACCCUGGCUCAUCCAAUCCAUUCAGCAGCUCCCCAUUAGGUAGGGUUGUGCUUCCCCCACCAAGCCUCCUGUUUUAAGAACUUGUUUUAAAAAGAUGAUGUACAUUUCCCCGGCAGAGCCCAAACGCUCUCCCCUGGGCUGAGGGGAUUUCCAUGACGGGAGAGGCCUGGCUGAGUGGUGCGGACUUGCUUUGCCAUGAGGGCUGGGAAAGGGUUUGGAAAAGGACACGCAGGAAACCUGCCCUCUGGACCUCCUUGCAGGACCCAUCUCAAGUUUCUAUGCUGGCCCAGAAGGUCACGUUGCAGGGGAGAGGAGGGAGAGGAGGGGAGAGAAGAAGACCACGAGGUCCAUGUAGCUGGAGCUGGUUCUAGGACACAAAAUAAAUUCUCCCAGCCCCAAAAUAUUGCCCUCCUGCAUGGUGUGCCAAUAUGGGGGGCAGGGGGGAGGUUAUUUUCCAUUUUUCUUCCCCUUGCAGAAACGGAAGUGUGGCUGCGAGAAGAAAGGGAGGGAGCGGGGAGCUGUUUCUUGCUUCUUCCUCUUCUUUUCAAUAGUCUUUCCCCUCAGAAACCGCUGGGAAGAAUUUCUGACGGGGCUGGUGAGAUCUGCCCCACCCGCCCCCCAGGGAUGGAGAAAGCUCUUGGCCAGAGAAGAGCGGCCAUCCUGGCGCUGGAGUGAUGAUGUCCCUCACGUCUCUGAGGUGACGAGGGAGACUGGCUCACUGACAGAGGCCUGGGCUCCAUGGCCUCCUCCCUCGUCCCUCCCAGCGGGCAGUGGCCUCUCCCUUCAUUUUACCUCAGCACUGCCAGGCCUCAGUGCUCCUAGAGGGCGAAAGGAAGUCUCUUCUUAACAGUGCAGGGGUUCCCAGCCAUGUUACUCCAGGUGUUGCUGAACGACAAAUCCCAUCAUCCUCAACCAUGAAUUGUAGCAUGGGGGUGAUGGGAAUCGUAGUUCAACAACAUCUGGUUCCGCACUGGCUGGGAAUCCCCCUCUGAACUGGUUCAUAAAGGAACACAAACUCUGGCAAAAUACAGAGAGUCAGAGGUACUUGGCUGUUUUGGACCGGCCUGGUUCCCAAGCUGUGCCUGUUGGGUUGCUCAUAAAUAGAAGGCAAGAAUCUCCCAAUUCUUAACCAUGAAAAACAAGUCCUUCUGCCUCAAAGACAGGAGCAGUUUGAAAUGGUCCCAUUUGUAAUGUCAGUUAAAAUGCCAGUUUUUAUUUGGAAGCUAACAAAAAACCCUCCCUCCCUCUGGAGAGGAGAGAAAGCGAAAGCGAAAGUGGGAGGCAGCUAGCAAGAGGCUUCGCUCCCAGUGGCCAGAAGGAGAAGAAAGGCGGUGGCUGAUUUCUAUGAAAAGAAGAACUCCCCAGUGGAAGGGUCAGUCCGCCAUAUCCCUUUCUCACCCACUCCCCCUUUUCUAGAUCUCUGGAUGCUACUAAGAUUUGCUAGUGAAAUUUCAAAACAGGAAAGAAGGGGAGGAAAAGAGAAAAGCUGCUCCCAGCAAAUGCUGGAGAAACCCAAUGCCUUCUGAGGGCUUGCUUGGGCUCCGACCUUUCCGGAACCCCCUUUGCUUACAGACCAAGCGCCCUCAUUUUGCACAAACUACGAUCGCCAUGUUUCACAGAAGAUUCAACACCGACACAAUGUGCUCUCUCGGAACUGAGAAUACUUUCCAUGGACUUUUCAGGAGCUAAUUUAGUCAUAUUGUGGAACGAGAAGACAGCCAGCAUUGAGAAGAAAGCCAGUAUGAAGUGAUUAUUGUGGCCUGCCUAAGAUCUUGCUGCAUGGAUUUGGCACAGAGUUCUGUAUUUAUUUUUUCUCUUCCCUUUUUCUGUGUAUUAGUUUAACACCACUAAUGGAGUUUGCAUUUCUUGCCAACAGUAUUUAGUACUGAAAUUCUGUACUUUUGUCCAAAUUCCUUCAUCUGUUAUUUGCACCAUGAAAUUAAUAUUGGAGAGAGAGCUCUUUACUGAGGAAGCUUGAAGCAGAAGCUUUUUCAUGUUCCUGCUAUAAGAAUAAGGAUAUUAAAGACAUCAAAUAUUUCUAGCGUUUUUCUAGAUUUUUGGAUUUUAAUUUUUUUGUCUGUUUUGGAUUCUGUUCGUCCAUCAACUUAAUAAACAGCAUUAUUAAUGGAAUUUGUACUCAUUACUUGUAUCAUUUUGUAUUCUGCAUGGAAUUUUUUAUUUGUUACUCAGGAAACUGGGGUGGAUAAGAUUAGAAUAUUUAACUUUUUUUAAAAAAAUAAUACUAUUUUUCUAUUUUGAAAUAAUACUAUUUCUAACCUAACAAAAAAUGAAUUUGGAAUGUGUGAGAUAUAUAUAUAUUCCCCAGUUGAAAGCCCCUCUUUGUGUUUCUUCCCCAAGCCCUUGUUUGUGCCUGAGUGGAGAUGGGCUGAAGUACAAUGCCUCCACUGGAAACUCCAGCCCUGCCCAGCACCGAGGCUGACCCGACCCGACCCUACUUUGUGGGUCCAGACAGCAAACGUUGUUAUCCUACCUGUGGCCCUGAUCCAACCUCCAAGGGGAUUCAGGAGAAUGCAAGCUUCAAAGUACUUUUGCGAUUCCGUAAGCUGAAUGAGGAAGAGGAAAAGGCCAGAUGAUGCAGAAGGAGUCCCAAGGUAUCUUUGUUGGAAGUGCAGGAGAGUCCGAGUCCAUUCCAAGGAGACCAGAACAAGAUGAAUUCCCACUUAGUGUGCUGGCUUCCGUUCUUCUGCCACACUCACCUCCCCUUGAAGCCACUCUCUGGAUCGGUGGGCCUUGACUCUGCUUCCCAUGACAGGUUUUCAGAUUUUUAAACCUCCACCAUGAAAGACAAAAAACAAACAGGUUUGCCUUACCUGUGGUUUCGACCCCACAACUGCAUUCCGUAAAAAGAAAGGGAGGUUCCAGACACUGGAAUGCUUUCGGAAGCUGAAUGAGGGGACACAGCGGAGGCCAGUUCUGCCGCCACUGCCUAGACUGGGACCAGCAGCAGCACCCCACUACGGCCUCUUCCUCCAGUGGCAAAUCCAGCCACACCCGGCACUGCGGCCACACCUAACAGCACCUAGGAUGUGGUAAGCACCGAACCUCCAGCACUGUUCCACCUAGAUUGGAAGUCGUGCCCCUCCCCAGAGGGCGGGGAGAAGAGCAGGUGCUCCUUGCAGGGUGUGGAAAGGUCCGAGGGGUCUCCAAGAAGUGCACAGAUGGCAGUCAACUGGUGUCUUGCCCCACAACCCUGCUCUUGAAUCCAGGUUUCCCAGCAGCGGCCAGGUCUGUGGCUGCCCCCCAUGCCAUUAGCAGCAGCACCCCCUCCACUCCAGCCUCCAGCUCCAGCCCUGCCCAGCCCUGCGGCCUCCCACAAGAGCAGCAACAACAACCGUGAUUUGCGAAGAGGGCAGCCAAGGCCUUGAGGUGGUGCCAGAGACAAACACUGUUUUGCCCCACACCCCUGGUGGGGGCAGCCCCCUUUCCAAAGGGACCUUUGCAGGAUGUGGAAGUGGCCCAGGGGGCGGGGAGGAGAGAAGGUCGCCAUCAGCCUCUUCUCUCCUCAUGCAAGUUUUGCAAGGAGGGUGGGGAGAAGGGCUCCGAGGGUCCAAUGGGUCUCCAAGAGCUGCUCGGAUGGCUGUCUCGGGGGCCGUCUUGCCCCCCUGGAAUAGGACAGCAGCUCCUUCCAAGCAUGAGUGAAGAUUCUGGUUUCUCCGGUGGCAAAGUCUGAGCCCCUUGGUGAAGAACAGGGAGUACGUGUGGUGGGAGCAUCUCCUUGGAAGCGUCACCUCGGUGUGCAGCAGCUGUAAAAAGACAAUUUCCAUGCUAAGGAUCAUCAGGAAGAGGGCUGAGAACAGUACUGCUAAUAUGAUCCUCCCUUGAUACAAAUCUCUGGUGUAGCCAGCUGGUCUAUGACCAUAAUAAACUCCUGUCUAUCUAUCUAUCUAUCUAUCUAU